CAACAAACCUACAACAAGAAAACAUCCAGGGCACAGGUCAUAGUUGAAAAUGCAUUUGGGAGACUUAAGAGUAGGUAGAGCUGUCUUAUGAAGAGGAAUAACAGUGAUAUUGAACUUGUCAAAUCCAUGGUGCUUAUUUGCUGUUCUCUUCACAAUCUUUGUGAAAGUCACGGAGAAGACUUCCACCAGGAAUGGGAUAUGUCUGCAGAAGAGCCAGUUCAGGUAAUAGCACGGGGUAGCGAAGAAGAAGACAGUGAAGUACGUCAGGCUCUUGAUGCG